rnacentral:rRNA from 1 species
GCGAAAGCCUGAUGCAGCGACGCCGCGUGAGGGAUGAAGGCCUUCGGGUCGUAAACCUCUGUCAGGAGGGAAGAACCGCCAUGGUGCUAAUCAGCCAUGGUCUGACGGUACCUCCAAAGGAAGCACCGGCUAACUCCGUGCCAGCAGCCGCGGUAAUACGGAGGGUGCAAGCGUUACUCGGAAUCACUGGGCGUAAAGAGCACGUAGGCGGCCUUGCAAGUCAGAUGUGAAAUCCAACGGCUUAACCGUUGAACUGCAUUUGAAACUGCAAGGCUAGAGUAUGGGAGAGGUAGGUGGAAUUCUCGGUGUAGGGGUAAAAUCCGUAGAGAUCGAGAGGAAUACUCAUUGCGAAGGCGACCUGCUGGAACAUUACUGACGCUGAGGUGCGAAAGCGUGGGGAGCAAACA